rnacentral:rRNA from 1 species
UACAGAGGUCUCAAGCGUUGUUCGGAUUCAUUGGGCGUAAAGGGUGUGUAGGUGGCGCCGUAAGUCGGGUGUGAAAUUUCGGAGCUUAACUCCGAAACUGCAUUCGAUACUGCGGUGCUUGAGGACUGGAGAGGAGACUGGAAUUUACGGUGUAGCAGUGAAAUGCGUAGAUAUCGUAAGGAAGACCAGUGGCGAAGGCGGGUCUCUGGACAGUUCCUGACACUGAGACACGAAGGCCAGGGGAGCAAAACGGG